rnacentral:rRNA from 1 species
AUUGAACGCUGGCGGCAGGCCUAACACAUGCAAGUCGAGCGGAUGAAGGGAGCUUGCUCCUGGAUUCAGCGGCGGACGGGUGAGUAAUGCCUAGGAAUCUGCCUGGUAGUGGGGGAUAACGUCCGGAAACGGGCGCUAAUACCGCAUACGUCCUGAGGGAGAAAGUGGGGGAUCUUCGGACCUCACGCUAUCAGAUGAGCCUAGGUCGGAUUAGCUAGUUGGUGGGGUAAAGGCCUACCAAGGCGACGAUCCGUAACUGGUCUGAGAGGAUGAUCAGUCACACUGGAACUGAGACACGGUCCAGACUCCUACGGGAGGCAGCAGUGGAGAAUAUUGGACAAAGGGCGAAAGCCUGAUCCAGCCAUGCCGCGUGUGUGAAGAAGGUCUUCGGAUUGUAAAGCACUUUAAGUUGGGAGGAAGGGCAGUAAGUUAAUACCUUGCUGUUUUGACGUUACCAACAGAAUAAGCACCGGCUAACUUCGUG